rnacentral:rRNA from 1 species
UACGUAGGGUGCGAGCGUUAAUCGGAAUUACUGGGCGUAAAGCGUGCGCAGGCGGUUUUGUAAGCCAGGUGUGAAAUCCCCGGGCUCAACCUGGGAAUGGCAUUUGGGACUGCAAGGCUGGAGUGCGGCAGAGGAGACUGGAAUUCCUGGUGUAGCAGUGAAAUGCGUAGAUAUCAGGAGGAAUACCGAUGGCGAAGGCAGGUCUCUGGGCUGACACUGACGCUCAUGCACGAAAGCGUGGGGGGCAAACAGG